rnacentral:rRNA from 1 species
AGAGUUUGAUCAUGGCUCAGGACAAACGCUGGCGGCGUGCUUAACACAUGCAAGUCGAACGGUCUCACUUCGGUGAGAUAGUGGCGGACGGGUGAGUAACACGUAGUUGACCUACCCUGGUGUGGGGAAUAACCCCUCGAAAGAGGAGCUAAUACCGCAUACGUUCUCUAUUGUUGGAUAGAGAAGAAACCUUUUCUCGCAAGAGAGAGGGGCACAAGGAUGGGACUGCGGCGGAUUAGCUAGAUGGUGGGGUAACGGCCUACCAUGGCGACGAUCCGUAGCUGGUCUGAGAGGACGACCAGCCACACUGGGACUGAGACACGGCCCAGACUCCUACGGGAGGCAGCAGUCGGGAAUCUUGCGCAAUGGGCGAAAGCCUGACGCAGCAACACCGUGUGGGCGACGAAGGCCUUCGGGUCGUAAAGCCCUGUUGUUGGGGACGAAGGGCGAAGGGUUAAUAGCCCCUAGCUUGACGGUACCCUUCGAGGAAGCCCCGGCUAACUACGUGCCAGCAGCCGCGGUAAUACGUAGGGGGCGAGCGUUGUCCGGAAUUAUUGGGCGUAAAGAGCGUGUAGGCGGUUUGGUAAGUCUGCCGUGAAAACCCGGGGCUCAACCCCGGGCGUGCGGUGGAUACUGCCAGGCUAGAGGGUGGUAGAGGCGAGUGGAAUUCCCGGUGUAGCGGUGAAAUGCGCAGAUAUCGGGAGGAACACCAGUAGCGAAGGCGGCUCGCUGGGCCAUUCCUGACGCUGAGACGCGAAAGCUAGGGGAGCGAACAGGAUUAGAUACCCCGGUAGUCC